rnacentral:rRNA from 1 species
GAGGGGCCUGCGUCCCAUCAGCUAGUUGGUAAGGUAACGGCUUACCAAGGCGAUGACGGGUAGGGGACCUGAGAGGGUGGCCCCCCACAAUGGAACUGAAACACGGUCCAUACACCUACGGGUGGCAGCAGUAGGGAAUAUUGCUUAAUGGGCGAAAGCCUGAAGCAGCAACGCCGCGUGUGCGAUGAAGGCCUUCGGGUUGUAAAGCACUUUUUGAGGGGAUGAGGAAGGACAGUACCCUCAGAAUAAGCCUCGGCUAACUACGUGCCAGCAGCCGCGGUAACACGUAGGAGGCGAGCGUUAUCCGGAUUUACUGGGUGUAAAGCGCGUGCAGGCGGUUCAGAAAGUUGGAUGUGAAAGCUCCUGGCUUAACUGGGAGAGGUCGUUCAAUACUUCUGGACUCGAGAGUGGGAGAGGGAGGUGGAAUUCCGGGUGUAGUGGUGAAAUGCGUAGAUAUCCGGAGGAACACCAGUGGCGAAAGCGGCCUCCUGGCCCAUUUCUGACGCUCAGACGCGAAAGCUAGGGUAGCAAACGGGAUUAGAGACCCCGGUAGUCCUAGCUGUAAA